UCUGCUCAUCAAGCCACUCUGUGGCGGCAUCCUAAGUACAAAAUAGAGGAAGAUUGGCACAGAUGUUAGCUCAGUGACAAUCUUCCUCACCCCCCUCAAAAAUAUAUAUAUAUUUGUAAAUUGAAAUUAACGUGCUAUAGACAUACAUUUAUAGGUCAAUGAUGUAACUUCUUGUUAUAACCAUAUACUGUCAAAAGAACUAUAGUGACUUAUUUUAUUAUAAUUAUAUUUUAUGCUAGAGAUUUGAAUUCUUAUUAGGUAUAACUUGUGUGGUUUUCUUUAGACAAUUCUUCAACCAUCUAAGGGUGAAGAGAAUCUUAAAGACUUCUUGCACAUAUUUUAAGGUGACUUUGGGUUAUUGCUCUGCAGCUCUUUGCUUUAAAAAAAAAGAGAAUCAGUCAUGCCCCGGCCUGAAAAUGCAUGUCAUGCAUACACCCACAGUAAAUAAAUUUUUCAAAGCUCAUUUAUGAGGUCCAGUGUCAGUUUUAAGGUAUUUUGCUUUAAAAAAAAAAAAUCAGUCAUGCCCCAGCCUGAAAAUGCAUGUCAUGCAUACACCCACAGUAAAUAAAUUUUUCAAAGCUCAUUUAUGAGGUCCAGUGUGAGUUUGAAGGUAUUUUGGUAUGUUCUCUGUAACUUUUUCUUUUUUUUUUUUAAUAGCUAUGUCCUUUUAUUAAGUUGUGUGAGAAUAGUAACAGGGCUCUUUUUUUGUUUCAUUGCCAGUUACUUUGAUCUGGCAUUCAUAUUUGGUGUCUAUUUUGAUUCUUAAGCCUGUGUCAUAAUUCCAUGGCCUCAGUUCUGAAAUGCAAACUAAGUCCAGCUUGUUUUAAGUUCUGUUAAUAAACGUUUCUUUUCAUGGCUUUUGUUUGUUUGUUGGGUAGGUAGGAAGUUGGUUUUUUACCUACUUGCUUCCUUAUUGCCCAAGUAUCUUAGAACUUAAACUCAUCUGGAGUUGUUGCCUGGCUGGCCUUGUUUAAUUAAGUGUAGAUGCCUGGGGCUUUAUGCAUGUGGCAUUAUUGCUAAAAUACUGGGCUUUGCAAAGCUUUUCUUCUGCAUAGUUAUUGUUUGAUUUUAAGUUUUUAUAUAGUUCUUGGGUGUGAAGAAUUCCUUCAAGAACGGUUUUUCUGAAGAAUAUGUUUUUAUUAAAUGCUGAUGACUUUUCUCAGUUUUCCAAUUUAGUAGGUCACCUUUAAUGUCCAUUAAAGUGAAAUAAAACUUCCAACCUUAAACAUUUUUCGUUGCUUAAAGAUUAUCUCAGUUUAAUUUGCCAUUUCUUUUUGACUAAGCAGAUAUACUGUCCAAAUGACUGGAUUGUUAAAUUAUGUUUUUUAAGACUGCUAAUUGAAGUAAGAUUACUGAUUAAGCCUAGAAGAGGGGGACCCCCCUGAACCUGGAGUAUUUUCCCCUCCUCCUUCAAAGAUGAGACUAGAUGAGUGUGUUAAUGUUUUUUUUAAACACUGAUUCUUUCCUUCGUAAUGCUUAUUUGAGUUUGCAGUUCCAUGUUUAUUCAUAUUUUAUUUGCAUGAUUAAUUUGUUAAUGUCUGUAUCCUCUUGUAGACUGAAUAUAACCUUGACUGUUUAUCUUUUGGCCAACCAUUGUAUCCCCGUUUUCUACUAUAGCACUUGGUAUAUUGGUUGGUUCUUGUAAAUAUCAAGACAUCCAGCAGUUAUUACGGGCCAGUCACUGUUCUAAGGGCUUUAAUGAAUUUGAACUUAAUCCUCAUGACAACCCUAUGAGGUAGGUUCUAUCAUUAUAUUACAGGCAAGGAAACUGAUUUGUAUCACAGGUUAAGUAACUUACUCAAAGUCAAAACUAGUGAGUUGUGGAGAAGAGAUUUCAAACUCAGGCGCCCUUGCUUUGUGUUCUGUGUUAACUGCUGUUGUAUGCUGCUUAUGUCAGUGGAAUUAAUAGGUUCCAUAAAACAUUGGCACAUAGCAUGGAAAACUUGUAACACUGUGUUUGGUCAUCAGGAACAAAUUUUUAAUUUCGUAUGUUUUGUUAGAAAAUAAAUUUAUAAAAUAUA